rnacentral:rRNA from 1 species
AGGACUAACGCUGGCGGCGUGCCUAACACAUGCAAGUCGAACGAGAGUAGCAAUACUCUAGUGGCAGACGGGUGAGUAACACGUGGUCAACCUACCUUUAAGUGGGGGAUAACUAGCCGAAAGGUUAGCUAAUACCGCAUACGAUCUUCGCGUGGCAUCACAUGAAGAUGAAAGGAGCAAUCCGCUGAAAGACGGGACCGCGUCCCAUUAGCCAGUUGGUGGGGUAACGGCCUACCAAAGCAACGAUGGGUAGCUGGCUUGAGAGAGCGACCAGCCACACUGGGACUGAGACACGGCCCAGACUCCUACGGGAGGCAGCAGUGAGGAAUUUUCCGCAAUGGGCGAAAGCCUGACGGAGCGACGCCGCGUGUGGGAUGAAGGCCUUCGGGUCGUAAACCACUGUCGAAGGGGAAGAGUAUUGACGGUACCCUUGGAGGAAGCCCGGCUAACUACGUGCCAGCAGCCGC